CUUAGAAGGUGUUACCCGCUUUCGGACUACCUCGUUAUGGUACACUUGCUGCUUCCAGAAAAACUAACAUUUCAAGAAAAUACUCCCUAUUGUUGACUAUCAUGGAGUACUUAUUCACUGUCGUUUGAUACACGGUCGUCGACGCCAUUAUGUAUCCAGCGUUCGUAAUAAGCCUAAAUAACCCGCAUUUCGUUCGCGUCCGCCUACACAUUCAAGACACAAUUUUCAUCGAUGAAUUAUCAACAAACGUGGCUUAUGAUGUACAGAUCUUACACCAUCCUUCAAAACCUUAAUUUGUACCUCGCCACCUUACACAUCUAUACAAAUUCUUGUGGCCUCCGCUUCCGCUUUUGAAUCCGGUAUUAACUGCGAAUCCGAACUUUCACACCCCUCGUUUACCCUAAUCUAUGGGGUCAUCAGGUGUGGCAUUUGCUACCCAUAAUCCAUAACCCCGAACUCGGAGUCACGACAUCGAUUGCACAAUUUAUGGGGCGGACCCAUCAUGUAUACGUUUAUACUUUGAGUUUCCUUAACUGCCCCUGGACUUGUUCACCACCUCGUACAACGAAUUAAGCUAUUAUGUGCUUUUUGGAAUGGUUCCAAACUGUAGGAAGCGUUUCGAUAUCUUUAUAUCACCUCCAAUAGCUCCAU
rnacentral:rRNA from 1 species